UACGGAGGUGCCAAGCGUUAGGCGGAAUCACUGGGCUUAAAGCGCGUGUAGGUGGACGGGUAAGUAUCUUGUGAAAUCCCACAGCUCAACUGUGGAACUGCUGGAUAUACUGCUUGUCUUGAGGCAUUCAGGGGCAACCGGAACAAAUGGUGGAGCGGUGAAAUGCGUAGAUAUCAUUUGGAACGCCUAUGGUGAAAACAGGUUGCUGGGGAUGUUCUGACACUGAGACGCGAAAGCCAGGGGAGCAAACGGG
rnacentral:rRNA from 1 species